UUUAUAGAUUUCUAGCGUAAUUUAAUAUAUUCCGUCAUUAGGAAUGAUAUAAGGACAGUUCGCAUCAUUUUGCGAAAAUGAAAUGUCCCAUCUCCCUAUUUGCAUAUUUCAUGAGGUCCACACACUCUAAACGUCCCCUGAAUGACGAAAUGCAUAGCUGGUGGGCCAAAUAUGCGCUAUGAUGGUUUAAAAUAUAAAAAUGAUGAUUUUACGUAAUUUAAUUGAAGAAUUAAAAAAAAAACAUCGUAUGUGUAUAUAUUAAUUUUCAUACCUUGGUGUGGCCUUAUCGUAACAAUUUUUCUGCUGUGUCAUCAAUUAGCGUUUGAAGUACCCAGAAAUUUUAAAAUAUCAAACAAGCGGUUGUAAACUAUAUAAAAACGCGCAAAAUAUUUCACUUACGAUUUUUCUAUUUAUGAACAAAAGCAAGUUUUACUGGUUAUUAACUUUUAUAUAUCUUUCGCAAAUUAAACCAGAUGCAAGUGUUUUCAAUAGCACAAUAAGAUGUCUGUAUGUGAGAGUCUAAACUUGCCCACCCCUCAUGCAUAAAAUGAGCCAAAAAUUUAAAUUUGUCGCUAUGAGACAAAAUGUAAAUGUUUUAAUCAUUUUCUGGCAUAAUUAUACCCCCACCAAACAUGCUUGAGGGGGGUAUAUAGGAGUCAGUUUUGUCGCGUCCCGUCCCGUCCCGAAAUCUAUUAUCUCAGUUAUUACCAAAUGGAUUUGAUUCAAACUUAAAAUACAUGUUCCACCUUAUCACCCACAUCAUGUGACACAAGGUGCAUAACUCUGACACCAAGUUUUCAUGAAUUAUGUCCCCUUUUACUUAGAAUUUAAGGUUAAUUUUGUUGUAUUUUCACUAUAUCUCAGUUAUUACUAAAUGGAUUUGAUUCAAACUUAAAAUAGAUGUUCCACCUCAUCACCCACAUCAUGUGCCACAAGGUGCAUAACUCUGACACCAAUUUUUUAUGAAUUAUGCCCCUUUUUACUUAGAAUUUAAUGUUGAUUUUGUUGUAUUUUCACUAUAUCUCAGUUAUUACUAAAUGGAUUUGAUUCAAACUUGAAAUAGAUGUUCCACCUCAUCACCCACAUCAUGUGCCCACAUCACGUGACACAAGGUGCAUAACUCUGACACCAAGUUUUCAUGAAUUAUGUCCCCUUUACCUAGAAUUUAAGGUUAAUUUUGAUGUAUUUUCACUAUAUCUCAUUCUGAUUGGCUUAAAACCGAAGGGAAGUAACCCUUUUUUUACUUUUGUACUGAGUUUCUUCCCCUUAAAUUCCAGAAUUUAGUCUGUUUUUAGAAAUCCUAUAUUAAGAUUUUCAAUAUUUUAGGUAUUUUUCUAACUUUUUUAUUAUAAGUCCUAUGUAAAAAGUAAAUACAUUUUUCUGUGGUAACAUGGGUCGGUAAGACAUUUUUUUUGUAUUCACUUUUAGUGUAUCUCUAAUAUUAGAGAUUUUUUAUAUUUACUGGUAUUACUAUACUAGUAUUAUACUAGUAUUACUUAUAUGUGGAAGCCCAGGAUGAAGUACUCCAAAGACUAAGUAUUUUUAAGAUUUCUUAUGUUUGCCAUUCUUCUGUGACAAGACCGUAUGGUGGGGGUAUGAGUCACUCCUGUGACAGUUCUAGUUUAACAUGUAAUGAUAUAUGGGCAUUUUCGCAUCGUUUUGAGAAAAUAAAAUGUCCCCGCCCUCUAAAUGAUAAAAAUGAUACUUUUACGGUACUAAAACACUGUUAAUGGUGGUAGAAUUUAAAAGACAUGUCUCAAUAUUGGAUUUUUUAUGAUUUUUUUUCGCACUGGUAUCAGCGUUAUUUUUGGAAUAUUCAAGCUUACUGCCCCUUGUCCCAAUAAGUGAUUUCUUUUUUCGCAAAAAAAUAAUUUGAGCUUUGAUGGGUGAUUUUAGAUAUCUCAAGAAAUUUGGACAGGUCUGUCUCUUGGGAAAAAUGUCCAAGCAUUAAUUCAUUUUUCACAACAUUUACUCAUUCGUGGGAAUCCUCUUUUCAAAAAGCAUCAUAGAUAAUCAAUUGAAUACAAAAUCUUAUAACAAACAUUUGGCUCUUGUAUUCAAGUAACAAUGCAAAAUCGACCAUUUCUACUUACAAAACCUGAUUUUUAUGUACAUGCUUUAGUUUUUCAUGUCAGUUCGAAAGUAACAGAAUGAUUAAUUUUCCUCAUGAAAGGAAAGCUUUUUCUCUCUUCGGUCAGAACUGUCAAUAUCUGAUGGGUUGGGAAAUAUAUGAAACUAUUCGCUGCAUAACUCUUUGAGGUAGUUUGGCCUCAAACAUGUUCCACAUUAAUUGUGGGUAAUCAAAUGCCGAUUAUGUCUUUUCAGAGCAUUUCAGACAAGACUGAUAAACCUUACAAUCAUUUCCCUAGGGAAAAUCUCCAGAUUUGACUGGUUUUUGACUCUUCAACUACAUAAUAUUGUUUAUAAAAUUAAGGUUUUAAUGUCUUUGUUUAUUUUCAGUCUAGUGUCUAGUUAAUUGAUUAAAGAAUUUACUUUGCUCUGCUCUAUUUUCAUUGACAAUACAAUGAUAGAUGAUUUAUAUCACACUUGUUGCAGUUAAAUAUCAAAGUUGGAUAUCAAAUGUUCCGGUAGUUAUUAUCUUGAUUUGAAUUGUUUCAGUAAAAGAAUAAGGAACAAACAUCCAAUUAGGAUUAGCCAGGUUUAAUACCAGAAACAAUGAAACGAAAUAAGUACCUAAAUAAGUAAUAAGAAAUCAUUUUUUAUUAAGGAUACAAUUCUAAAUGAUGAUAGAUUAUAUACAUUGUACACUGUCAGUGUUGAUUUAGGUCGAUCCAUCGGAAUGUUUAUUUACACACAGAUAUAAACAUUAUACCAUGGGAAUUCGUAGCACAUAAUAUUUAGACUCAAGUCGGAUUCAUUUUCCUGAAACGAUUAUUUUUCGUGUCCAGAGAUAAAAACCAGGAUGUUUAUUUACAAGAUUCUUAUCAUUACUUCUAACCAAUGGACACUAGGUUAUGUUCCCAAAAUGUAAACAAAAUAAGAAAAUCAACUGAAAUUUAUUUUGUAAAUUAGGGCGCCAAUAUAAAUUGAACUGAUAAGUAAGUGCUAACUACAAUAAACGCAUUGGAAAGCUAUUUCGGAUAAAAUACAUCGGUUUUAGCAGACAUUAUUUAUGCAGAAUUACAGGAAAUCGUUAUUUGUUCUGGUCGUUUCUGAGUAUGGAUAUUUUUCGGAAGGUUUGUAUCCUUACAUGUAUAUGUAAUUAGAUACUUUUUCAAGUAAAUUUAAAAGGAAAGUUUGUUUUCCGUAAACUAUUUUAAAAUGAAGUAUGUAUCACUUAGAUAUUUAAAUGUUCAUUAUUUAUUUGUUCUGAUAUGUUGUUCAAAAAGUGGGACUAAUGAAUAUUAGCUUUCAUUUAGUAAAAAUCCAUUGCCAGGACGCUGUAUUUGUUACUUUGUGAUUUGUGAAAGGUGAACUGUUAAUUUCCGGGUUCGCAUGCUAGUUCCCACAUACUGGAUUCAGAUUCAUUGGUAAUGGAGGCCUUGUGUACUAUGCAAUACAAAGAAAACUACAUUCAUGUGUCAACAUUUGCUGUUAUUAACAGGGAUAUACACACAUCAUUGUGGAUUAUAAAUGAAAGUUGGAUCUUUAAAAGCGACCACGUUACCUAACUGGAAUAGUGUUUUGAAGGAGAUGUAUUUUCGUAUUACUUUGAAUAUUACAAAUAUAUGGGCAUUUGUUUUCGUAAUGUGAAAUGAUAACGUUUCUCGAAAAUGUCAGGACAGAAACAUUCAAUAAUUACAUUCUAACCAUAUCACGUUGUGUAAGAUGUGCAAACAGUGACAAAAAAUCAUGAUGAAAUAUAUUGAAAAUCUUGUAAUCUUUCACAAUUUGUAACUAUUUCCAUGAUGACUAAUGGCAAUACAUGCAAAAAACAUAUAUUUUGUCCGUUUUCAGAAAGUUAAAUGCAAAAGGAAUUGUAUUCUAUUUCACACAGUAUCAGUUACCUUGGACAUUCAUUUUCUGAAACUUAUCAGAAUUUUACCGUUAUCUUGGCUUUCCUGUAUAUAUUUAUUCUUUAUUCAUAUACAUGUAUAAUUACAUAACACAGUGCUUAACAGUGCUUGAAUUCUGAUAGCAACAGCAAUACUCAUCUUUUCAUCAGAUUUCAGAAUGUCUAGAAUUUUGAGUGCAAUGUUAUCACUCAUUUUAUUUAUCUGAUUUAAGAUAAAUACACACAAUAUCAACAUAGGUCGCUUAUUAGAAUUCUGGUAGCCAUAACAACAGUCAGAUUUUCUUCGGUCAGAUUUCAAUUGUUUUGUAACGGCUUAUCGGAAUUUGGAUAGCAACAUUGACACACAUUAUUUAUUUCCUCUGUUUAUAGUUAUAUAAUUCAGAUAGUAAAGUCAAUGCUCUUUUUUCUACUGCCUGCUGUCAAAUGGUGUUUAUCUGAAUUUGGAUAGCAAACGCAACGCACAGUUUCUCUACUGUUCGGUUCCAGAUCGUUUUACGCUGUGGCUUAGGCGAAUUCGGAUAACAACGAUAAUACAUACACAAGAUCUAUUUCAUAUAUUCCUGAUGAGACGCAAAACUUAUAGUUAUUUCAAUUCAGAUAGCGAAGUCAAUGCUAGGUUUUUUGAACUGCAUGAUUGCUUAUCUGAAUUUGGAUAGCAAAAACGAAACACAAUUUUUAGAUAGUCAAUAAUGUAUAGACUUGUCUGAAUUCGGAUAAUAAUACAAACGCACAAUUUGGUCUUAUUUGUGUAUUUACUUGUUCGUUUAAUAAUCAGGUACAAGGUUUCUUCCGUAAAUUAUCGUAUUUGGUAAAGUGUAUAUUCGCAUAGGACAGCGUAGCAUAAUGAAUAUUGGCUUUAAUCUGACAGUAUUUUGUAUUUGUAUAAUUAAUAUAAAAUGAAUUGAAGAUAAUCUAAGUCUGCCUUUUAUCUGAUUUCGGAUAGAACAGUUUUCUUAUACAUAUUCAGAUAUGUGGUUUCCUGUUCCCAGCUCGAGGUGUCUUGUAUUUAAUACAUAUUCAUGAUCAUUAAAGUUAUGAAACAUU